rnacentral:rRNA from 1 species
UACGGAGGGAGCUAGCGUUGUUCGGAAUUACUGGGCGUAAAGCGCACGUAGGCGGCUUUAUAAGUCGGGGGUGAAAGCCUGUGGCUCAACCACAGAAUUGCCUUCGAUACUGUAGAGCUUGAGACCGGAAGAGGUAAGUGGAACUGCGAGUGUAGAGGUGAAAUUCGUAGAUAUUCGCAAGAACACCAGUGGCGAAGGCGGCUUACUGGUCCGGUUCUGGACGCUGAGGCGCGAAAGCGUGGGGAGCAAACAGG